AUUGAACGCUGGCGGCAGGCCUAACACAUGCAAGUCGAACGAGAGGCGGACGGGUGAGGAAUGGCUGGGAAACUGCCUGAUGGAGGGGGAUAACUACGGGAAACGGUAGCUAAUACCGCUAACCAUCAGAUGGGCCCAGAUGGGAUUAGCUAGUUGGUGGGGUAACGGCUGACAAAGGCGACGAUCCCUAGCUGGUCUGAGAGGAUGACCAGCCAAACUGGAACUGAGACACGGGCCAGACUCCUAAGGGAGGCAGCAGUGGGGAAGAUUGGGCAAUGGGCGAAAGCCUGAUGCAGCAAUGCCGCGUGUAUGAAGAAGGCCUUCGGGUUGUAAAGUACUUUCAGCGGGGAGGCGGUACCCGCAGAAGAAGCACCGGCUAACUCCGUGCCAGCAGCCGCGGUAAUAC
rnacentral:rRNA from 1 species